UGGUCNAUUAGAGGAAGUAAAAGUCGUAACAAGGUCUCCGUUGGUGAACCAGCGGAGGGAUCAUUA
rnacentral:rRNA from 1 species